AAAUUGAAGAGUUUGAUCAUGGCUCAGAUUGAACGCUGGCGGCAGGCCUAACACAUGCAAGUCGAACGGUAACAGGAAGCAGCUUGCUGCUUUGCUGACGAGUGGCGGACGGGUGAGUAAUGUCUGGGAAACUGCCUGAUGGAGGGGGAUAACUACUGGAAACGGUGGCUAAUACCGCAUAAUGUCGCAAGACCAAAGAGGGGGACCUUCGGGCCUCUUGCCAUCAGAUGUGCCCAGAUGGGAUUAGCUUGUUGGUGAGGUAACGGCUCACCAAGGCGACGAUCCCUAGCUGGUCUGAGAGGAUGACCAGCCACACUGGAACUGAGACACGGUCCAGACUCCUACGGGAGGCAGCAGUGGGGAAUAUUGCACAAUGGGCGCAAGCCUGAUGCAGCCAUGCCGCGUGUAUGAAGAAGGCCUUCGGGUUGUAAAGUACUUUCAGCGGGGAGGAAGGUGUUGUGGUUAAUAACCACAGCAAUUGACGUUACCCGCAGAAGAAGCACCGGCUAACUCCGUGCCAGCAGCCGCGGUAAUACGGAGGGUGCAAGCGUUAAUCGGAAUUACUGGGCGUAAAGCGCACGCAGGCGGUCUGUCAAGUCGGAUGUGAAAUCCCCGGGCUCAACCUGGGAACUGCAUUCGAAACUGGCAGGCUUGAGUCUUGUAGAGGGGGGUAGAAUUCCAGGUGUAGCGGUGAAAUGCGUAGAGAUCUGGAGGAAUACCGGUGGCGAAGGCGGCCCCCUGGACAAAGACUGACGCUCAGGUGCGAAAGCGUGGGGAGCAAACAGGAUUAGAUACCCUGGUAGUCCACGCCGUAAACGAUGUCUACUUGGAGGUUGUGCCCUUGAGGCGUGGCUUCCGGAGCUAACGCGUUAAGUAGACCGCCUGGGGAGUACGGCCGCAAGGUUAAAACUCAAAUGAAUUGACGGGGGCCCGCACAAGCGGUGGAGCAUGUGGUUUAAUUCGAUGCAACGCGAAGAACCUUACCUGGUCUUGACAUCCACAGAACUUUCCAGAGAUGGAUUGGUGCCUUCGGGAACUGUGAGACAGGUGCUGCAUGGCUGUCGUCAGCUCGUGUUGUGAAAUGUUGGGUUAAGUCCCGCAACGAGCGCAACCCUUAUCCUUUGUUGCCAGCGGUCCGGCCGGGAACUCAAAGGAGACUGCCAGUGAUAAACUGGAGGAAGGUGGGGAUGACGUCAAGUCAUCAUGGCCCUUACGACCAGGGCUACACACGUGCUACAAUGGCGCAUACAAAGAGAAGCGACCUCGCGAGAGCAAGCGGACCUCAUAAAGUGCGUCGUAGUCCGGAUUGGAGUCUGCAACUCGACUCCAUGAAGUCGGAAUCGCUAGUAAUCGUGGAUCAGAAUGCCACGGUGAAUACGUUCCCGGGCCUUGUACACACCGCCCGUCACACCAUGGGAGUGGGUUGCAAAAGAAGUAGGUAGCUUAACCUUCGGGAGGGCGCUUACCACUUUGUGAUUCAUGACUGGGGUGAAGUCGUAACAAGGUAACCGUAGGGGAACCUGC
rnacentral:rRNA from 1 species